UUUUGCAUUUAUCCAAAUUUACAACUUUUUGAACUUUAGUUGUUUUUUAGGGUCUGAGUGUUUAUUUGGGUAGUUUUUUUCUCUCUGUAAAAUAUCGAUUUUUGAAAAUGGGAAUCGAUAAUCGAUCGACAAAAUAAUAUCGUUGAUACAUCGAUAUCGUUUCUAUCGAUGACAGCCCUAACAGAUAGUUUCGAGUUUCUCGAGUAAGAACUCGGAUUGUAGUAAAGGAGAACUGAAGUAAAACUUGCUUAUCCGUUUAAUCUUCUAUCUAAGCUGUUCAGCCUCGGGUCGCGUGUACUUUUAGCCUGAACACGGAAGUAGAGUGAAUAUGUCAUGAUGUGCCAAAGAAGUACCAGUACUCACAGUAUCUCUUUGGAUGUUCAUAUAAAGUGGAAAUCUAGGAAAAAUCAAAUGUUAGAUGUCAGGUCAUCUAAGUGCAAUCGAUGAUGUUAUUCAACAUGCUGUGGCCGCAUUGAACUAGAAGUCAUUUCUGGAACAGAAUCCAGGGAUCAUAAGAGAAAUGUAUAUAUAGCCAAUGAUGAUGAUACCUGCUGGCCAAUCACUGCCAAAGAUUAGAAUAACCUAUUCACAGAAAUAUGGCAUCUUUCACACAUAUGGAAUGGAACAUUUUUGCCAAGAUGCUACAUAAACUCUGACACCGAGAAUAUGGCACCUUUCACACAUAUGGAAUGGAACAUUUUUGCCAAGAGGCUACAUAAACUCUGACACCGAGAAUAUGGCACCUUUCACACAGUCAUAUGGAAUGGAACAUUUUUGCAAAGACGCAACAUAAUCUCUGACACCGAACGUACAUUACGACUAGUAGGACAAUAAUGGUAACAUAAAUUACACCAUGUUAAAAACUCUUGUCUUCGGUAUUACUGCAGCCGGUCAGAUUUUGGAUUUAAUAAAUGUAUAUCAUGAAGUCACUUACAGGACAGUACCUAUUGUCAAAUUAACUGUGUCAUAUGACAUAAGCCCUGCUUAGACAUUACUUACACUAAGUCUUGUCAACAAAUAUAUUUAUUGCUUAGACUUUAUGAUUUGAUUUUUGUCGAAAAAUAUGCAUAAUUUCUGCAGCAGAUCCUAGACUAGCGCAAUAUUGUUCUGAGAAAGAAUAAAUUCAUAUUUCUGGAUGCAAAGCUAAUUUUCAUUACA